rnacentral:rRNA from 1 species
AGAGUUUGAUCCUGGCUCAGGAUGAACGCUAGCUACAGGCUUAACACAUGCAAGUCGAGGGGCAGCAUGAACUUAGCUUGCUAAGUUUGAUGGCGACCGGCGCACGGGUGAGUAACACGUAUCCAACCUGCCGAUGACUCGGGGAUAGCCUUUCGAAAGAAAGAUUAAUACCCGAUGGCAUAGUUCUUCCGCAUGGUAGAACUAUUAAAGAAUUUCGGUCAUCGAUGGGGAUGCGUUCCAUUAGGUUGUUGGCGGGGUAACGGCCCACCAAGCCUUCGAUGGAUAGGGGUUCUGAGAGGAAGGUCCCCCACAUUGGAACUGAGACACGGUCCAAACUCCUACGGGAGGCAGCAGUGAGGAAUAUUGGUCAAUGGGCGAGAGCCUGAACCAGCCAAGUAGCGUGAAGGAUGACUGCCCUAUGGGUUGUAAACUUCUUUUAUACGGGAAUAAAGUGAGGCACGCGUGCCUUUUUGUAUGUACCGUAUGAAUAAGGAUCGGCUAACUCCGUGCCAGCAGCCGCGGUAAUACGGAGGAUCCGAGCGUUAUCCGGAUUUAUUGGGUUUAAAGGGAGCGUAGGCGGACGCUUAAGUCAGUUGUGAAAGUUUGCGGCUCAACCGUAAAAUUGCAGUUGAUACUGGGUGUCUUGAGUACAGUAGAGGCAGGCGGAAUUCGUGGUGUAGCGGUGAAAUGCUUAGAUAUCACGAAGAACUCCGAUUGCGAAGGCAGCCUGCUGGACUGUAACUGACGCUGAUGCUCGAAAGUGUGGGUAUCAAACAGGAUUAGAUACCCUGGUAGUCCACACAGUAAACGAUGAAUACUCGCUGUUUGCGAUAUACAGUAAGCGGCCAAGCGAAAGCGUUAAGUAUUCCACCUGGGGAGUACGCCGGCAACGGUGAAACUCAAAGGAAUUGACGGGGGCCCGCACAAGCGGAGGAACAUGUGGUUUAA